UAGGGAAUCUUCGGCAAUGGGGGCAACCCUGACCGAGCAACGCCGCGUGAGUGAAGAAGGUUUUCGGAUCGUAAAGCUCUGUUGUAAGAGAAGAACGUGUGUGAGAGUGGAAAGUUCACACAGUGACGGUAACUUACCAGAAAGGGACGGCUAACUACGUGCCAGCAGCCGCGGUAAUACGUAGGUCCCGAGCGUUGUCCGGAUUUAUUGGGCGUAAAGCGAGCGUAGGCGGUUUAAUAAGUCUGAAGUUAAAGGCAGUGGCUUAACCAUUGUUCGCUUUGGAAACUGUUAAACUUGAGUGCAGAAGGGGAGAGUGGAAUUCCAUGUGUAGCGGUGAAAUGCGUAGAUAUAUGGAGGAACACCGGUGGCGAAAGCGGCUCUCUGGUCUGUAACUGACGCUGAGGCUCGAAAGCGUGGGGAGCAAACAGG
rnacentral:rRNA from 1 species